rnacentral:rRNA from 1 species
AUUGAACGCUGGCGGCAGGCCUAACACAUGCAAGUCGAGCGAGCGGCGGACGGGUGAGUAUUGUCUGGUCAACUGCCUGAUGGAGGGGGAUCACUACUGGAAACGGUAGCUCAUACCGCAUACCAUCAAAUGUGCCCAGAUGGGAUUAGCUAGUAGGUGGGGUAACGGCUCACCUAGUCGACGAUCCCUAGAUGGUCUGAGAGGAUGACCAGCCAAACUGGAACUGAGACACGGUCCAGACUCCUACGGGAGGCAGCAGUGGGGAAUAUUGCACAAUGGGCGCAAGCCUGAUGCAGCCAUGCCGCGUGUAUGAAGAAGGCCUUCGGGUUGUAAAGUGCUUUCAGCGGGGAGGCGUUACCCGCAGAAGAAGCACCGGCUAACUCCGUGCCAGCAGCCGCGGUAAUUC